rnacentral:rRNA from 1 species
CCUACGGGCGGCAGCAGUGGGGGAUAUUGCACAAUGGGCGAAACCCUGAUGCAGCGACGCCGCGUGGGCGAAGACGUAUUUCGGUAUGUUAAGCCCUAUCAGCAGGGAAGAAGAACUGACGGUACCUGAGUAAGCAGCACCGGCUAAAUACGUGCCCGCAGCCGCGGUCAUACGUAUGGUGCAAGCGUUAUCCGGAUUUACUGGGUGUUAAGGGAGCGCAGGCGGCACGGCAAGCCUGAUGUGAAAGCCCGCGGCCCAACCGCGGGACUGCAGUGGGAACUAGCGGGCUGGAGUGCCGGAGAGGUAGGCGGAAUUCGUAGUGUAGCGGUGAAAUGCGUAGAUAUUAGGAGGAACACCAGUGGCGAAGGCGGCCUACUGGACGGUGACUGACGCUGAGGCUCGAAAGCGUGGGGAGCAAACAGGAUUAGAUACCCUUGUAGUC